UAGGGAAUCUUCCGCAAUGGGCGAAAGCCUGACGGAGCAACGCCGCGUGAGUGAUGAAGGUCUUCGGAUCGUAAAACUCUGUUAUUAGGGAAGAACAAAUGUGUAAGUAACUAUGCACGUCUUGACGGUACCUAAUCAGAAAGCCACGGCUAACUACGUUCCAGCAGCCGCGGUAAUACGUAGGUGGCAAGCGUUAUCCGGAAUUAUUGGGCGUAAAGCGUGCGUAGGCGGUUUUUUAAGUCUGAUGUGAAAGCCCACGGCUCAACCGGGGAGGGUCAUUGGAAACUGGAAAACUUGAGUGCAGAAGAGGAAAGUGGAAUUCCAUGUGUAGCGGUGAAAUGCGCAGAGAUAUGGAGGAACACCAGUGGCGAAGGCGACUUUCUGGUCUGUAACUGACGCUGAUGUGCGAAAGCGUGGGGAUCAAACAGG
rnacentral:rRNA from 1 species